GCCCCACAAAAAAUCCUCAUAAAAUACAGGCUUGCUUGUCAUACAAGUUUUACUUUACGACUUGCGUACCUUUUAUCUUAUACAACAUGUUUGCCCGUAUUACAUCCAUAUCAAUCGCUUAUCAACCACUCGGGUUGACUGACAUACCCCUUUAUUGUUGAUCAAAACUCGCGUGAACAAAGUCGUUUGUGAAUUUAUGUUUCUAAUUAUUCAAAAAUGUAUCCUAAUCCCUUUGAAAGAAGACAUUCUAUUGUUUGGCUGGUGUUUGAAAGGAUUUUUUUAAAAGAUCUUCGAUGUUGGAGGAAAAGAAAAAUCGGUUGAUGGAGGAUUUUUGUACCUAUUGUAAAUAGCAGGUGAAAAUAAUUUAUCUAAAUUAUACGUGGAUUUAAGUAGUAUAAGAUACCACACUGAAGAGUUCAAGACUUUAGUUACGUAGAUUAUACAGAACUUGGAUAAGAAUUCACUAAAGAGAAAAGAAGAAUUCAUUCAUGGCCAUUAUUCUUCAAAACUGUAUGAGUAAUUCGUCGUCAGCUUUUUUAUCGUCCCACUGCCGGGCGCAGGCCUCUUCUCACACUGAGAAGGAUUGAGCGUUUAUCAAAUAAGUACAUUAUUAUAAUUGAAAAAUAAUUUGCAUUUACUGUUCAGGCUGAUAGCAUCCAGGAAUUUACGCUGUAGCUCUAAGUUCUCACUUACUUGUGAAAUGGACUGAAAUAUGUAAAACUUUUACUUAAAACUAUUUUGAGAGAUUAGCAGUGUUUAUGAAAAAUAAGAAGUGUUUUAUAUGGACACACUCAGAGACAUUAAAUGGUUACUUAAGCCGUUCCUUAGUGCAGAAUUUCUAUGAGAAUCUGUCACUAAGAAGUGACUUAAGUAAUCAUUAAAUAUCUCUGAAUGCGGGGGUUAGAGGUAUAUGUAUAGUAAAAGUAAAUAAAUUUGUUUCGUUAUUGUAAUUUAAAAAAUGUAUUGUUUACAUGACAUGUGUAAGCCAUCUAAAAGCACAAUAUCCAUGACAAUAAUAUCAAAGACUUGUUUUUAAUAAUGAAGUGUCAUAAUAAAUACUAGUUACUAUUAUUAUUUAAUAACUAUUGUAUAAAAUACAAAACAAAUGUUAAUGAUGUAAUUCCUACAAUGUACUUAUGGAAGUAGUUUAGAUAAUAAUUAUUACUCAAGACAAGUACAAUAAACCUUCUUAUAUAACACGGUUUUUUUAUCAGACUACCAGGGUUCACCCGCUUCUUGAGGGGACUUUUUUCCGCACCUGGAUAAAAAUAGCUUAAAUGUUCAUAUGGUAUAGAAGCUAUACUACUACCAAGUUACAUUAAAUUCCGUUCAGCGGUUUGCGCCUGAGGGGGAAAGAAAGAUACACACGCUUACAAACUUUUGCUUUUAUAAUGUCUGUAUAAAAAAAUAUAGAACAGCUUAAGACGUUAACGUUCAUUAAUUAAAGCCUAUCUUUCACAAUCAAAUACUAUCGAAAAUAUAAUUGGAUUUUAUUAUACUCUAAACUGGUUAGCUAAUAAAAUAUUUGAAAAAAAUUA
rnacentral:lncRNA from 1 species